rnacentral:tRNA from 1 species
UCUAAAGUGGCAGACAAAUGCAAUAGAUUUAAGCUCUAUGAAUGAGAGUGAAAGCCUCUUCUUUAGAA